rnacentral:rRNA from 1 species
AUACGGAGGAUGCGAGCGUUAUCCGGAUUUAUUGGGUUUAAAGGGUGCGCAGGCGGCCAUUUAAGUCAGCGGUUAAAUCGUGGGGCUCAACCCCAUUCUGCCGUUGAUACUGGGUGGCUUGAUUGCGGUCGAGGUUGGCGGAAUUCGUUGUGUAGCGGUGAAAUGCAUAGAUAUGACGAAGAACACCGAUUGCGUAGGCAGCUGACCAGACCGCAAAUGACGCUCAUGCACGAAAGCGCGGGGAUCGAACAGGAUUAGAUACCCUGGUAGUCCGCACAGUAAACGAUGAAUACUCGCUGUUUGCGAUACACGGUAAGCGGCCAAGCGAAAGCGUUAAGUAUUCCACCUGGGGAGUACGCCGGCAACGGUGAAACUCAAAUGAAUUGACGGG